GGCCACAGCACAUAGUGCCCCUGUAAAGCUACACUAGUGGCGAUAGAGGAUUGAAAGGUUGAGCUCAGACCACAAACACUACUUUCUGUUUACCUCCUGCCCCUGCAACAAGGCCUUCCCCUGAUCUGAGCUAAUCCAACAGGCUAAUCUUGCCACUAGCUUGAGAACCACAGGAAUCAUUCUACUCUCCCUCAUUGUGAGGAAAGGUCCCAAUGUUCUAACCCAGCUGGAGUCCCAAGACGGGAUACAUGUGAUAGCACCAUGUGCACCACUACGAUGGUCCUCACCACUAUUGCUGUCAUCCUAUACAGAAAGUUCUCAAACCGAGUCGAACCGCACAAUGUUGAUGAUACCAAUGAGGAGCCCUACAUGAAGAGCAAUGGAGUGGACCCUAAGAAAUAACAACCCUCACAGCAGAUGUAGCUCUAGUCUACAGUGUACAUGGUACAUAAAAGUAAAAUAACAAGUAGCCUACAGAACUGAAUGCUGUCUGAUAUUUCAAGAUGUGUUAAGGAAUACAAGAGGAGGAGGGGAAGAGAGAGGGAGGGAAAAUGGAACAUGUGGCAGAAGUAGAGAUGCAUGAAGUGAGAAGAUGUAUGGCCGUUCCACAUUUAGCUUUCAAGUACUCACCACUACGCUGCUCCCACUAAAUGAUUUAGUGGCAGAACAACAAUCCAUCAGCUCUGUGGAAGGUUAUUAUAAAUGCAUUACCUCCCCAAGCCUACCAGUUCAAUGGAGUCGUGCAGGGCCUCAUAAAUAUGGGUCAAUAUAGGGACACACACAAAAGACUCAGGAUGAAUGAAAUAGGCUUUAUUGUUUUAGUGUGAACUUUCACCCUACCUGUGCGUAGAAGCUCUCAGAUCUGAGGCGGGUCUUUUCAAAUGAAGAGACGUGAGUUUAUUCAUUUAUUCAUAGCAUGAUAUCUCCCUAAAUGAUUAAUGUCCCCCCGCAUGUACGCUUUUAUGCACCCUCUUUUCUCUCUUUUCUUCCAGACACGAACUGAAGACAGGUCUUCACCUUGAUGGCUACACAUCUGGUGAGUUCUCUCAAUGGCUGCAUUCUAUGUCUCAAACUUAAACACCAGAAAUGGAAAAGUACUACUGAAUUACUACUCAUUACUACUACCUGAGAUCUACACAAAACCUACUGGUUUACUACUUGAUUGCUAUUCAGAUGUGUAGUAAACCAGUAGUGAUUUAGAAAUGUAAGUAGUAAAUGAGUGAUACAUUGAGACGUUUCACUACUGGUCAACACUACAUAUUUCCUAUUCAAGUGAAUAUAUAAUUCUUCCUUGAUGACUACUGAGCUUUUGGGUAUCUGCUACUUAAACCUCUUCGGGAUUGGUGUCCCUUCCACGGGAUGGUAGAGCUAACAUAGGCUAAUGCGAUUAGCAUGAGGUUGUAAGUAACAAGUAAAUUUCCCAGGACAUAGACAUAUCUGAUACUGGCAGAAAGCUUAAAUUCUUGUUAAUCUAACUGCACAGUCCCAUUUACAGUAGCUAUUACAGUGAACAAAUACCAUGCUAUUGUUUGAAGAGAGUGCACAGUUUUGAACUUGAAAAGUUAUUAAUAAACAAAUUAGGCACAUUUGGGCAGUCUUGAUCCAAAAAUGUAACAUAAAUGCAAUGGUUCAUUGGAUCCGUCUAAAACGUUGCAUAUACACUGCUGCCAUCUAGUGGCCAAAAUCUAAAUUGCACCUGGGAUGGAAUAAUACAUUAUUGCCUUUCUCUUGCAUUUCAAAGAUGAUGGUACCAGAUCUAAUGUGUUAUAUUCUCAUAUAUUCCCUUCACAUUUCCACAAACUUCAAAGUGUUUCCUUUCAGAUGGUAUCAAGAAUAUGCAUAUCCUUGCUUCAGGGCCUGAACUGCAGGCAGUUAGAUUUGGGUAUGUCAUUUUAAGGUGAAAAUUGAAAAAAAGGGUCCGAUCCUUAAGAGGUUUUUAAAUACGAUUCUCUUUUUUGUUGCAGCCACGUUUCUACACCACGCAAUAUUUUAGAAAAUAAAGACAAGCACCAGAGACAACAGAAUAUAUGCCAUUAUCAAUCAUUUGCAAUCAGAGGUCAUAUAAGACAACACAGAAAAACAUUUACAUACAAGCAUACUUAUUAGCUAGCAUGACGAAAACAGAGGCUACAUAGCUACAUUCCAAUGGGGCUAGCAAACAACUAGGCUAAACACAACACCGUUUUGGCAAGCAAUCUUUUUGAUGUGGUAAAAAGUUAUAUAAACUGCUAAACAACAACAUGAAACUAUUCAGAAAACACAAACAAAGUUAAACUUACAGAUGGUGCAAGCAUAAAGGCUAUGAAAGACAGGAUGAUGAAGGAUAGAAGAUGAUUACAUUCGGAAUUGUCAAGAACAGUAGCUAGCCAACAACAACCAACUACUUCCUGUUUUGCCUUCAUCUGCGGUUGCGAAAAGCCUGUGUAAUCUGGCAAUAGUGUUGAAAUGACUUAUUUCCUACCAACAUCAAGUAGUAAAACCUAUACCUGAUUACCAUUGAAAAGCCUGUGUAGAAAAGCUGUAGAAUUUUGACUACAUAUUUACUACAUGCAUCAUGUAGUAAAAAGCUCUAUCUGAUUACUACUGUAAUCACUACUGUUUUCAUGCUGAACACUACAAAACACUACUUGUCUAUCUUGAGUAGUGCAUAAUCUACACAAUCCUUACAAGUCUCUACAUAGUCACUACUGCACGAAUAGGUUUUGUGUAAUAAUUCAGUAGUACUUUUUCAUGAGGGCUAAUUUACCCAGUGGUGGAAAGUACUUACAGUAAGUAAAAAAUACUUUAAAAUACUACUUACGUAGUUUUUGGGGUAUCUGUAAUUUACUAUUUAUAUUUUUGACAACUUUUACUUCACUACAUUCCUAAAGAAAAUAGUAUACUUUUUACUCCAUACAUUUUCCUUGACACCCAAAAGUACUCAUUACAAUUUGAAUGCUUAACGGUACAGGAAAUGGUCCAAUUCACAGACUUAUCAAGAGAACGUCCCUGGUCAUCCCUACUGCCUCUGAUCUGGCAGACUCACUAAACACAAAUACUUAGUUUGUAAAUGAUGUCUGAGUGGCGGAGUGUGCCUCUGGCUGUCAAAAAAUAAUACUAAUAAUAAGGAAAUCGUGUCGUCUGGUUUGCUUAAUUUAAGGAAUUUGAUGCAUUUUUACUUUUACUCAGGUAUGACAAGUAUACUUUUUCCACCACUGUACUUAAGUACAUUUAAAACCAGAUACUUUUAGACGUUUAUUCAAGUAGUAUUUUACUGGGUGUCUCACUUUUACUUGAGUCAUUUUCUAUGAAGGUAUCUUUACUUUUACUCAAGUAUGACAAUUGAGUAGUUUUCCACCUCUGAAUAUACCACUGCUGAUUGAAGCUCCUUGCUAACAUGUUAACUUCUGUGCUUUGGGUAUUUCAGUCUAGUUUGACUGGCAAACAUCCUAUAACAUAAACCCCAAAAGGGGUAUGUUACAGACAACAGCAGCAGCUCCAUCUCAGUCAUCUGGAAUUGAUGCAGCUGGCUCCAUUGUCUCUCCAGUGUUCAGAGACUGUGCAUUGCCAUGUGAAAAGCAUCUGGAAUUAAUAACAGGCCAGGGUAGGCCAGCACAACAAUAAUCUUUUUUUUUUAUCACAUCUUCAAUCCCCCAUCUGUCCUGCAGAUCCCUCUAAUAUUAUUUCAGCAGAGGAUUGUCCCAGGAGGCCUCCCUCCUCCUUCUUGAGGCAGGAGAAUUACAUUUCUGGGAAUGAAACCUCAACCAAUCACAUCUUGGUGGAGCUGAAUCUACAGAACAACGUCUUGGUUUAUUGUGGGUUUCUUGUUUUGUAGAGUUGGAUGUUUUCUUAAGGCUUAAAGUAGGCCAAUGAUCAAUGUAAAACUGUUGGAAUGUGUUCCGUGCCUCAAAAAACAGUAGUUUUCUUUGAUUGUCAAAUAGGGCUAUACAGAUGUGUCCAUUGAGUAAAUUAUAAUGGCUUUUAAAGAAGAGGCAGAACUUUAAAAUUAUGCACUUUAAAUGGUAGGAUGUUUUUGGUAAUCUUUCACAUUCCUAAAGUGACUUAAAUAUUGUUUUUGACUGAAACAAGGAGCUACGGAUAAGCAAUAUGUUUAAAAUGAAUCGCUUGAACCCAUAAAUAUUUGACCAAAUGUCAGAGAACAUAAAUGUCUUGUCGUGAAGAUGUUUGUGCCAUGGCUACUCAAUCUGAAGAGCAAUGGAAAGAGGCAUCUGUUUUGUACCUCUCUGUCAACCCUCUCCAGUCACAAUGCAUUGCUAUGUGAUGAAAGAAAACCUGCAAGUGAAUCACCUCUUCCCCUACACCUUUAGCAUCCCGUUGGUCCCAUUGAAGGAGCAACAGUCAGAAAGAGGUGUCUGCCUAUGUUCAAAACACAGCUCCAACUUUACUUGACAUUUUUAAAAGCAGCUAGGUGUCACCUUAGUAAACGUCUGCCUUGAGUCAGAGCUUGGUGAUGAUGGUGGUUACUGGUAGGACGGUUUGUUACAGAAUCGACUUUCCUUUGACAUGACAUCUUACAACCUACUUCUUCUCUCUAAAGCAAACAUUAUGUCUGUUCUUUGCUCUCCCCACCUGAUCAAAUAAAGAGAUUGGGAAAAAUGUAGUUAGUUUGUACAUAUUUUUAUGGCCUUGGUUUGAAUUUUCUCUUGUUGUAGGAUACCUACUCCCAAAUGUUGCAUUGUAUGUACUGCAUGAUGACCAUUACUGUAUUACCACUUAUAAGAGACCCUUCAACAUGUAACAUACACAGUCUGAGAUAUUGAAUCUGUUCAUGUUUGUUUUUUUAACCACUCCAAACAAGAAGAAUUAAGCAGAUACCUCAGCAAGACGUCACCUGACCUCAUAAGGAUAAAACAGUGAUCACAAACGUGAGCAGGUAAAUAUAGCUCUGCUGCUGACACAAUAGCCUUGUGUUAUUUACUUCCAAUCUCACCAGACGUCAACAUGACAGUGGUUACUAUCAAAUCAUUAGACUGGCAAAUGACCCCACAAAUUGAUUGAAGGACCUUGAAAAAGGUCCAUAAAGAAAAUCCAAACGAGUCAUGUUUAGGAAGACGCAGGGCUCUCGACCUUCGUCUCUCCCGAGUCCAUACGGGAGUUGCAGCGAUGGGAAAAGACUAACUACCAAUUAGAUACUACGAAAUUGGGAAGGAAAAUGGGUAAACAAAAAAACAAAAAAACAAGAAGAAGCCAAACGAAAACACCUGUGGUGUUACAGGCAACAAAAUAUUUUCUUUGGUUUGGUUUUCCGAUGUCAACGUUGUGAACAGAGUGCCCCAUGGUGGCACUCUGGUGGGGUUAUGGUGUGGGCAGGCAUAAGCUACAGACGACGAAUACAAUUGCAUUUUAUUGUAGAUGCACAGAGGUACUGUACCGUGAUGAGAUCCUGAGGCCCAUUGUCAUGCCAUUCAUCUGCCGCCAUCGCCUCAUGUUUCAGCAUGAUAAUGCAUGGCCCCAUGUCCCAAGGAUUUGAACACAAUUCCUGGAAACUGAAAAUGGCCCAGUUCUUCCAUGGUCUGCAUACUCAACAGGAAUGUCACCCAUUGAGCAUGUUUGGGAUGCUCUGCAUGUUGCGUUUAUAUUUUUACUAAGUAAAUAAUUACUACGGUCUAAAUAAAAAUAUUCAAAAUACUUAACCAGAGACAUGACUUAGCCACACAGGAUCAUUAGCUUGUUUAAAAAAAAAUGCUAUGGAUAGUUUCAAGUCACAAGUGUGUAAGCCUAUGCUUAUUUGGGAAUCACGGAAUUGGGUAACAUGAACGGCAAAAUGUCUAGCUGAUUGAGAUGUGUCUGUCAGUGACAAGCAUCUAAAAUAUGUGUGAAGAUAAUAUGUCUUGAGUAUAAUAUAAAAUGUUGCAACAAGGAGGGGAGGGUAGGUGGAGAAGACAUGUCUCUCUCCAGAAUGCGCUCAGUGGUCUCCUAACAAUUAUUGCGCAUGAAUUGUUUCAUUAUGUGAAUUGUUUGCCCUAUUGUUAAUUUAAAAAAAUAAA
ensembl:lncRNA